rnacentral:rRNA from 1 species
UACAGAGGUCCCAAGCGUUACUGAGAAUCACUGGGUUUAAAGGGUGCGUAGGUGGUCCGUUAAGUCAGUUGUGAAAUCCCCGGGCUCAACCCGGGAACUGCUUCUGAUACUGGCGGACUUGAGGCCAGUAGGGGUCACUAGAACUGACGGUGGAGCGGUGAAUGCGUAGAUAUCGUCAGGAAUGCCGGUGGUGAAGACGGGUGACUGGGCUGGUUCUGACACUGAGGCACGAAAGCGUGGGGAGCGAACGGGG